rnacentral:rRNA from 1 species
AUUGAACGCUGGCGGCAUGCCUUACACAUGCAAGUCGAACGGCAGCACGGGAGCAAUCCUGGUGGUGAGUGGCGAACGGGUGAGUAAAGUAUCGGAACGUGCCCAGUCGUGGGGGAUAACGUAGCGAAAGUUACGCUAAUACCGCAUACGAUCUAUGGAUGAAAGCGGGGGAUCGCAAGACCUCGCGCGAUUGGAGCGGCCGAUAUCAGAUUAGGUAGUUGGUGGGGUAAAGGCUCACCAAGCCGACGAUCUGUAGCUGGUCUGAGAGGACGACCAGCCACACGGGGACUGAGACACGGCCCAGACUCCUACGGGAGGCAGCAGUGGGGAAUUUUGGACAAUGGGCGAAAGCCUGAUCCAGCCAUGCCGCGUGCAGGAUGAAGGCCUUCGGGUUGUAAACUGCUUUUGUACGGAACGAAAAGGUUUGGCCUAAUAAGCUGAGCUCAUGACGGUACCGUAAGAAUAAGCACCGGCUAACUACGUGCCAGCCGCCGCGGUAA